rnacentral:rRNA from 1 species
UCUGCGACGCUCCGAUCCUCAUCUACCCUUCCUCCUCGGUGGUUGGCCUCUCGGGGAAACACGUUAAAGAUGAAUCCCAUGUCGUCUUAUCUACUUUUUGAAUGAAAUCAUACAACCGGUAGCACUGGAUCCCUCGGCACGUCACUCGAUGAAGACCGUAGCCACUUGCGAUAACUGAUGUGAUAUGCAAGUUCAAAGCUUACACGUGAAUCAUCGAGUUGUUGAACGCACUGCACCGUCCACUAAUCCUGGAUGGUAUGCACGAUUGAGUGUCAUUUCUACCUUCUCCACUCACGUUUUGACCUUGCCGUCCGUGAGCGGAGAGUUCGAGGUUCACGGUCUUAAUUUCGGACCGCGUUCCUUCAGAGCGAUGAGUGCUCUUCUGCGGUCUCUCCAUUUCAUGAACUUGAAUGGCGAAUCGCAUCGAGCGAGCGCUUCCAACCGCCAAAUGGCAAUAUCUCUUCAGAUUGACCUCAGUCGUGUGAGAUUAGGGGCUAAACUUAAGCAUAUUAAUCAGCCCACGAAAAGAAACUAACAAGGAUUCCCUCAGUAACUGCGAGUGAAGCGGGAUCAGCUCAAUGUGUGAAUC